ensembl:lncRNA
UGGGGAGCUUCCAGUGUGGUGAUUGUGUGGAGAUUCUAGGAGUAUUGAAGGCUCAAAAAAGGCAUUGGACCCUCUGUGCUUUCUCAACACCUCACGCUGGGCCAUCUGACUGUUUCUGACUUAUAUCCUUUUAUACCAAACUAAUAAUCUAGUGUCACCGCUGCCAGGACACCGUGUAAUGUCUGGGUCUGGGAUGUCCUGGGGAGUUUGGAGAGACUUUGGAGGUCAUCACCAGCCCAGCAAGGCCAUCACAACAUCAGGCUCUGGAGCCAAACCAGCUAGGUUCCAGUUCCCACCUGGAGCCAAACUCGCUGGGCUCAAGUCUGCACCAGUCACUUAGAAGCUGAUUAAAUGAGGGAAGCUACCUUACUUCUCCUCCCCACAGUAUCCGCACCUGUAAAAUCUGUAAAGGAAACAGCAGCUCCCACCUCAGAGGGUGGUAGAAAGGAUCAGUUUCCACAUGUUCAUUGCUGCUGCUGCUGCUGCUGCUAAGUGGCCUCAGUCGUGUCCGACUCUGUGCGACCCCAUAGACGGCAGCCCAUCAGGCUCCUCUGUCCCUGGGAUUCUCCAGGCAAGAAUACCGGAGUGGGUUGCCAUUUCCUUCUCCAAUGCAUGAAAGUGAAAAGUGAAAGUGAAGUUGCUCAGUUGUGUCUGACCCUUAGCGACCCCAGGGACUGCAGCCUACCAGGCUCCUCCAUCCAUGGAUUUUCCAGGUGUUUUUAUGAUGGCUGCUUUAAAAUCCUCAUUAGAAAAUUCUAACAUCUUUGUCAUCUCUGUGUUGAUGUCUACUGAUCAUUUUUACUCUUUCAAGAGAUUUCUUCUGACAUCACUUCUAUGGAUGGAGAGGGUUCAGCAUUGCUAGUGCCAAGUAGGUGCUGAAGUUCAGAUUCCUACCUGGCCAGUCUUCACUCCUGGAGGGGAGGAUUCUUCAUUACUGCUGAGCAGUGGUGGGAGGCUCAGCUUCUCAUGAUGCCUGCUGAUAUCACCAUGGCAGAGAGGCAAGGUGCCUUGUUAUGAACCCAUGUGAUCUCCACUGGCACCUCAAGGGGACCAGACCUUAUUAGCACUGGUCAGGGACUGAAGUCCUGACCUCCCACUUGGCCUUCUCCAAUACAAGCUGGGUGUAGGGGAGCAGCUGUGUCAUCUUGUUGCAGCUGGGCAAGCACGGAAGGCUAGGCCCAGCACCUGGCUCUUGCCUUCAAGGGUCACCUGGACCUUCAAGUCUUUCUGUAAAGUUGGGCUGAAGUAGGGUGGUUAUUGUCUAGACCUUUCUGUCUGGCCAGACUGACCCUUUCCUGGUGAAUACUCAUUGGAAGGACUGAUGCUAGUGCUGAAGCUCCGAUACUUUGGCCACCUGACGCAAAGAGCUGACUCAUUAGAAAAGACCCUGAUGCUGGGAAAGAUUGAAGGUGGGAGGAAAAGGGGAUGGCAGAGGAUGAGAUGGUCGGAUGGCAUCAUUGACUCAAUGGACACGGGUUUGAGCAAGCUCCGGGUAUUGGUGAAGGACAGGAAAGCCUGGAGUGCUGCAGCCCACGGGGUAGCAAAAAGUCGGACAUGAUUGAGCAACUGAACAACUGGAUACAGAAAGCAAGGUUUUUUUUGUUGUUGUUUGUUUGUUUUUUAUCUGUGAUUUCCUGUUGGCAGGUUGCUGGCUUCUUUAGCACUAGGUGUGGGAUAUAUAGGGCUUUCCUGGUGGUUCAGAUGGUGAAAAAUUUGCCUGCAAUGCAGCAGACUUGAGUUCAGUCCCUGGGUUGGGAAGAUCCCCUGGAGAAGGGAAUGGCUCCUCACUUCAGUAUUCUUCCCUGGAGAAUUUCAUGGACAGUGGAAUAUGUGAGACUGAAAGAAAAAUCCAGGGAACUCAUCACUGUGUCAUUUCUCCAGAUCCAAGAUCCCUUACUGAUCUGUUUUCUUCUUUCCACCUUUCAGAGUAAUUUUUAUGUUAGUUUUAUGUAUAAUGUUUAAGGGUUUUAGUUGAACUUAGUGGGAGGAAUAAGGAAAAGUACAUUUAUUCCACCUUUCUAGAAGUCUCUAUCCCAGAACUUAACUAUAUAUUGUAUUUUCUUCAGUUCAGUGUACUUUUUAAACUACCUUUGAGACCUCCUCUUUGAGGCAUGGACUAGAAGAAUGUUGUGUAGUUUCUAAAAGCAUGGAGAUGUUUCUGUUAUUUUUCUGUUAUCAAUUCCUAGUUUGAGUCCACCAUGGUCAUAGAACAAAUUCCAAGUGAUUUCAAUUAUUUUAUAUCUGUUGAAAUUCACCUAAUGGCUCAUGAGAUGUUUGAUUUUGGUAAAUAUUCCACAGGCGGUUGAAAAGAAUGUGUAUUCCACUGCUGUUGGGCGGAGUGGCCUCUGAAGGUUGAUUAUAUCCUGCAGGUUGAUGCUGGGCUCUAUCAGUUGUAGAGAGAGGAAGGGGUAUUGUAGCCUCCAACAAUAAUUGUGUUGCUUUUGCCUUUUAUCAGUUUUUCUUCACAUAUUUUGCAACCGUGUUGACUGGUGCAUACGUAUUUAGAAUUGCUCUAUGCUUUUAUCAUUACGAAAUGUCCCUUUUGGUCCUUGGUAAUUUCCUUUACCUUAAGGUCUGUUCUAUGUGAUAAUAUGUCCACUUCAACUUUCUUUUGAUUAAUGUUUACGUAUCAUAUUGUCCCAUCAUUUUUCAACCUAACUGUAUCAUUAUAUUUGAAGUGAAUUUCUUGUAGCUGUCAUAUAGUUAGGUCAUUUUUAAAUCAACUCUGCAAAUUACUGUCUUUUGACUGGCAUUAUUUAGACAUUUAUAUUUAAUAUAGUUUCUGGUGUAUUAGGAAUGAAGUCUGCCUACUUACAUUUUGUUUUCUAUUUGUUUUCUCUGGUUCUUUUUUCUGUUUUCUUUGCCUUCUGGGUCUCUGAAUAUUACUUAGGAAUUUCAUUUUAUCUGCAAUUUUAAUGUAUCUCUUUGUAUAGAUUCUUUAUUGGUUGCUCCUAGGUAUUAUAUUCCAGUGUAGAUGUUUAUAUAACAGAGGGAUUUCUGAUGUGUGUACAUUCUACAUUAGCAUUACAAUGAAGAAGCUGCCAUUAUAAUGUUCAUUUAUGCUACCUUUACUGUUAUCUUGAAUGAUGUGAUUGAAAUGAAUGAAAAUACUGAGACUAAGGUUUUGUAUGUAAUCAAUGUACUGGAGUAAAUACACUUGUAAGUCUUUGGUAAGUAGCCAACCCGGCCACUUCCCAGCCUCACUGGAUUCUUUAUUUCAUAUGUGAAUGAGGUGUCUUCCCCUAUGGUACCCUCUAUUCAAAGUCCAAGCAGCAGAAACAUGAAGUUUGACUUCCAUGUUUAAAUUGAAAAAUAAUAGGGGCCAUAUGGUUCCAGAGGAGAUUGUCACCCUUAGUUGUCAUGGACCUUGAAAAAAGCAUGAGGAACUUAUAAUGCCACAGCCAGCACCAAAUCAGUUUUGAUGAACCGUAUCUGAAAAGCAGCAAACAAAUUUUGUUGAAAUUAUACUGAGUGUACACACAGCCAGCUUUGUGCUUUGAAAUCACCUUAAUAAUGAAGAGAAGAAAAAAACUUGCCAAAAUAUUGGUUUUCUCAGCAGAGAGUAGGGAAAAAAUGCAGUAUUUUCUGACCUCAAGCAAAUUCUGGAUAAAUGGCAAAGAAUUCAGAUUUUGUGGACUCAGAAAGCUUUUUUCAAGGAGUAUUGUACUGAUUUUUCUAAAACAUGCAAAAGGCGAUGUAGCAUGAUGGCAAUUAAAUUCAAAGAGUUCUAAAAAGAGAGAUUAAAC